ensembl:lncRNA
CCCUGGCCCCGCCCCUCGAGGCCCCCUCAGGGCUGCGAGCCCGGUGUCUGUGCGGUGGGGGCGCCUGCGUGCCCUGCAGGGCUGAGGGCCUGUUGCGGGGCGGCUGCCUGGCGCCUCUGCAAGGUCUUCCUCCCUCCCUGCAGCUCCGAUCCGCUGCCGGGGAGGGAAACGACCCCGACAGAAACCCGAUUGGAAGCGGGAAGGUUACGCCUCGGAAACAUCUGCCUCCCCCAGCUCGACCAUGCUUCCCCCACCCAGUGAGGCUGAGCUGCGGCUUUCAGUCUGAGCCCCUGCGGCCCGCAGAGGCUGCUGCUGGGCUGGGCCCGGGCGGCACUAGGCUCGCACCUCGGCCCGUCCCCCACAGGAGGGGCCUCGGUUUUCUUCUCUGCACGUUUGCGUUUGGGGGAGCCUCCUGCCUCCACUCACUGCCACGGAGGGACUGGGCCAGGCCCUUGAUUCAUUUGGACCGGUCCAAAGUCUGCACUCCUACUUUGGCCCCUUGCCUCUCAGACCUUCUGAGAGCUGACCCCUUGGGAGAUGAAAGUCUAGGCUCUGCCAGCAGCCUUCAAAAUCAGUCCGAGGCCAGGCAAACUUUGCAGCACUCGUUUGCAGAGCUGGGGAUCCCUCCACAGGUGACACUGGUCUGCCACCCCCGCCUCCCAGACUGUUUCUCUCUCCAGCCUAUUCUCGAAAUAGCCCUCCAGGCACACGCUCUCCUCCGCCACCCACGACUUGCACACCCCUCCGAGCACACAGGCACGCACGAAUUCACCCUCAAGCACACUUCUCCCAGCGCCAUUCUGGUGAUUCCUGGUCCCUGGGGUUAACCCCACCCCGACACACACAGCAAACUUCAUCCUCCACCCUUAUCUCCCGUCCUUUUCAAGGCACUGGCGACAGGCCACUGCAUUUCCUUCCUCGUCUGCAGCCUCUCUUCCCCCUCAAAUACUUCACGUCAGCCCCCUCAUCUUCAUCCUCUCUUCCUCUAAAAAACGUGUUAAUUAAAAUGUAGUUUCCUCUGCCCACAUAUGAAGUGUGGCAAACGAAUCGCAUUCUUGGCACACACUGCAAUUCAUUUAUCCUCCUUUUCUCUCUCCACUGGACUAAAGCUAUAGAAAUUUUAGUCUGCCACUAUCUCCCAUUUUUCUUAAAAAAAAAAUUAUCCUGACCAUGCCUUAUUAUUUUUAAAUACUCCUCAACAUUCGUGGGGAAGUCUUGCUAAGGCUUAAGGAAAAAAAGAUAUUUAGGAAACGCUCAGCCCGUCAUUUUAUUUGCCAUUUUAAAAUAUCUGCAGUGUUUGAGAGAGAGAUUGGGAGUGGCUGUGUUUUCUUCAUUUAAAAAGAAAAAAAUGCUUUGCAUGCAUCAAGGCUAGCCUUUUUAUGCAUACCCCCCCCAAAAAAAGUACUGUAGGAGCAUGUAUCAUUUAAUAGCCUGUACUGCACAGGACGUGUGCCAGACAGAACUGUAGACCCCAGCCCACCUCCAAAGGACGACAGAUUCACAUAACGUUUUCAGCAUGGCUGAUGAAGAGCGCAUUCCACGACCAUUCCCUUUCCCACGGUUCCUAAACAAAACGGAUGUGGGAAACAAGGAAAUCCAGAGAAGCAAAAUCGGGACAAUUUAGGAAGAGAGCUGGUGUUAAAGCUGAGGGCCCAUUCUCCACACAGAAGCAAGGAGCGGUUGCUGUUUGUGAAAGCAAAACAUAACAACAAUAUCCAGAUACAAAACAAGAUGGAUUCUGCACGUCCAGUUGUCUUGUUUAAGAUGCAAGCAGUAGGAGAUUGUCAUUUUCACCAUUGAAAUGUGGAGCACUGUUUUGAACCUUUGUGGGGGACUUACCAUGGGUGGGAGCUAUUGCAAUCUAUUUUAUUACUCAUUUAACCCUUAGCUCGCCAUCUGCAUCACCCUACUAUGCCCACUUAACAACACUGCAAUGGAGGCAUAGAGUGAUUUGCAUGAGAUCAAAGGGGAAGUCAGGGAAUAGCAGAUGUUGGAUUUUGAAUUCCUGAAACACAGUGGCCCCAGAACCCUGCAUUUCAACCCCUUUCAUUCCACCUUCUAACACUCUUUGGCAGUUGGGUGAGUCAGAUCCUGGCCCGUCCGUCUACCCAUGCUCAAGGUUCUCUCUGACUAUUUAAAGCUACAUUAAAAAAAAAAAAAAAAACUCCCUGAAGGAGGUAGUCAAAAUAAAUAGAAUUUCUGAGAUUCAGGUGGCUUGGAUGUUAAUCAUUAACUUAGUGGUAAAGCUUUAACGGCAGCCUUUACAGCAAUGUACUCACCAGGUUUUACAUUCAAUUCAACAGUAAAAAUUUAAGUAUCUAAUCUAAGUCAGACUCCAGACACAAGCCAAGGCCCUCAGUUUUCACAUUUGGUUUGCCUUUUGUUACAAAGAUUUUGGGGUGGGGGAUAGGUUCGUUUUUUCCCCCCCAAAAGGUGGGUUCUUUUUUUUCUGAGAGGUGGUUUCAUUUCUCUCUCAGGGAGGUAACUCAGAGACCAGCUGGGCCUCUCGCCUGGCAGAAGUGUGGGGCACACUUCUGAGAGCAGGGCCUCCAACUCACAAGGUCACUUCUGCCACAGGGUGGGUCUUCUUAGCCAUUCUCCUUCAAGUCUACCCGUGUCACACCAUGCUGCAGCCUGGUGCUGGUUCCUUUUGUUUCUUUUUCUUUUCUUUUGCUUUUGUGUGUUUGUUUGUUUUUCAAGACAGGGCUUCUCUGCCUAGCCCUGGCUGUCCUGGAACUCACUAUGUAGACCAGGCUGGCCUAGAACUCAGAGAUCUGUCCCCUCUGCCUUCCAAGUGCUGGGAUUAAAGGCCUGAGCCACCACCAAUACCCCCCUCCAGGAGUCAAGGUCUUCUCUCCUUUUUC